CGGUAUAGGUUACUGAACAUAUUGCGAGGAUAUACAAUUAUCUGGCAUACGUGGGUUAACGCGAGUGACACCACGUAGACGAUUUACUGAUGAUACGAUGCUCUUCAUGGACACGUUAUGAUAUUCUAUAUUAUGCUGAUUUACGUGGUGCUUUCAGAUCAAAUGGUCAACUUAAUUUUUUUUUUAGGGUUUUUUAGGAGAUCUUAAUUUAAAUCGAUGAAUAAAAAGUUUGUAAUUUGGUUUUUAUAAACUGAUUAUUUUUAUAAAUUCUUUUCUCACUAGGACGUCAUUAAUUAACACAUAUUAUUUAAGAAUGUGCUGUACUAUUAAUUCUUGAUAUGUAUUAUGGUACUAAUUAAAAUUCGAUCUUAUAUCUUAAUCGAAUAGAAGAUUAAGUCAAAAAUUUAUUUUUAAAUUCCAAGAGAUUGAUUAAGUAAUUAGUCAAGUUUAAAAAAAAAAUUACACGUUAUUGGUACGUAAAAAAUGUUAUCAUACCUCAAUUGCCUUCAAAUAAUCAAAGGAAAAAUAUCGUGAAUGAAAUAUGAUUGGUCGGAGAAGACAGAGUAACUCAUGCAUCAUCAUAUCUAUACCUGAUAUGACACAACCUGAUGUAUAUUUAUGAAUUUGUAUAUUCAUAUAUUAUAUUUAAG